rnacentral:lncRNA from 1 species
UGUCAUACGAUACCAUUUUUUGACCACUUAGUUGAUGCCUCUGAAAGGAAGAGAGAAUCAGAUCGCUAAAAUUUGAUGUGUCGUCAGUGUGGAUCCUACUCAGUAGUGUCACAACGAGGCUGAAAAUCAUAUUAAGUGCUUUUAGGACAGAAACGUAAACUGCUCAGGUAAAAUAACCUUAUAAAGAGAAAUAAGCAUAUAUUGCAGAGGCCUUGGCUAGGUUCAUGAUGACACAGGACCUUGUCUGAACAUAAUGAUUUCAAAAUUUGAGCUUAAAAAUGACACUCUGAAAUCCAGUCAGUGUGCCUCACUAGACUUUUCGAUUUCAAGAUUUUCUGCAGAAAAUGUUUUGAAAACUUUGAAUACUUAAAAAUGGCAGGUGUAGUAUUGCACUUUGCUAGUUGCUCAGAUACCCUUUUUUAUUUGUAUAGAUAUUCUGAGUUCCUUUUUUUUUCUACAUGUUGUACGUUGUCGAAAGCUAAAAGGAAACUUAUCCUUGGAUCACGGAAGGCAGAGGCAUUUGGUGAGAUGGAAACAAGGAUGUGUAAAAAUGAGACGACCACCUCUCGGAUUAAAAAAAAAAAGUGCCAGAGUUCUAGGGUUCUAAGUGAUGUCCAGGAAGGAGGAGGAAUAAUAUUUAUGGAGCAUAUAUUAUGGAACACACCAUUAUGAAUGGUUUUUGAUUGAUCUCACAAAGAGCAUGUGCUUUAGACAUUAAUGCAGCGACUACCAUGAAACAGAGUAUUGGAUUACCUAAGGAAAGAAGCAGAGGAUGGAAUUUGAGGCAAUCAGGAUGAGUGAAAAAUUGAUUUGCAGCUGACCUGCAAAUGGAAUCAUCAGGAACAUCCCUUUCUCAUGGAGUCCCUUAAUUUACAAGUUAACUGCAAACAUAGGAGAUGAUAGUUCCAAGAAGGAACAUUUUAUCGUCUUUGUUUUUAAUCUCAAGAAUGGUACCUACCAUCAGUGAAUGACCUGUUGCAGUGCUUUCAUUGAAGUGUUCUUCGUUCCCUCAGCAAUAUGAUUGUGAUGACUGAAAAAGGGAAACUGUGCCACUAUUUGUACCAUCAUUUUCACCAAAAUCUAAAAAUGCUUUUUAUGACGUAUGGAGACAUUCUUCAUGUUUGUUUCAGUGGACACUCCUUGCAGAUGUAAAAAACUGAGAAAACUCACUUUUGGAAAGUGACCUAAAGAGUGUCAUUGAAGUGAAUUUUAAGUAGGCACGAUGAUUGUUUUCAUGGUUGCUGUUGGAUCAUAUCUCAGGAGCUGGAAUGACAGACAUUAUUGAACAAAGAAAUCAGGAUAGUGGAACUUAAAGGGCUUCAUCUCAGUGCUUUCAUAAGUAUGAAGUGCAUAUAUUUAUAAUUUUCACUAAUCACAGGAAUAUUCCCUCUGUAUACUUGCAUUUUUUUCUAUCAAUUGACGCUUACAAUUAUUUUUGCAAGUUGGAAAAAAAUGCAGUAUUAAUUUCAUUUGCAACAAAUUUAAUAGAUUAAUUAGGAGAGAAUAGAUAUCUUUAAAAUUGAGUCUUCUGUCCAACUGCAAGUUAUAGCUGAGGUGGUACCAGUUUAAGAAGUGAGAACUUCUUCACUGACUGAAAUUUGCAUAUCAAUCCAAAUCAUUGUGCUUAUUUACUAUUUUUGUAGACGUCAUUCUUCAAAAGUGCUGCAUCUUCAAUAGUCAAGGAGGACAAAGACAUCUUUCCUGCAGGUGGUGACCAUGUGGAUAAUAGGAUCAUAGACAAAUGGUGGUUCCAUCUACAGCAUCACCGAAAUGCUGUUGUUACUGCUUCUUUCUGGGAUCUUCUUGCAUCUUUGCUUCUAAAGGGGCACACCUUUUAUAGAAGUACGUCCAGGAAUAGAAGUGACCUGCUUUUUCGCAAGUAAUUGCCUGGAAUGUUUUUAUGUACUUCUCUGCACUCUCAAUACAUUUCAUGCUUCCCUCUAUUUUUGUAUAUUAACUCAUUGUAUUUCUUAAAUUUAUAUUUUACUUUAUGAAUGGAAGUGAGAUUUGUGUAUGGUAAAUAUAAUUAAUUCAACCCCAUGGAUACGUUAGUCACUGUCCAGAUGAUGGCAAGUCUUUCUCAGAAGCAGAGGGCCUUGGUGUGCCAGUGAUUUUUUUUCCCCAUGUGUAAGAUACUUUUUUUCCUCAUUUGAAUCAGGAGCCCACAGUUUUUAGACAAGUCCCAAAUGAAAUCUUAAGCAUUUGUGUUAUCUGGACUAGACCUUCUGUAGUAUCCUUUUUGUUAGACCUAGUAUAUCUCAUUGCAGAUCAGGAUCUGAGAUUGACUAUAGUUCACCUCUUUCCAAGUACACAAACUUGGAUGACAUGACAACUGAGUGUGUAAGGGAGAGCGAGACCCUUGCACUGCCAUUUGAGCCCUUGUGAUCUCAUCUUGUAGAACAUGUUGUACAAUCAUUUUAUUGGUAUCAUUAGUGUUAUUUGGGGCUGGAAUAAAAAUCUCAGUGCACC